AAGCAACAGUAGUGCAUUGCUUUUCGUUUAUGCUGAGUUUCGCACUCUAACUUCCCCAAAACAUGCUAAUUGUGAUUUGUGCAGAGUAAAAUUAUUUACAUUUAUAGAAGAAGACAAUGAGAUUCAGACGGAUUCUGUCUUGCCCAAGAAUACAGACAGAGCUGAUCAUGAGGCCAACGGAAGCCAUGGAGAGCGUUUUGAAGUAUGGGAAUUGCUGCAGGUGGCAUCUAAAAGGAGAUUCAUUGAGGAUCAAGGCAGAGGUCCCCAGAGGACAAACGGUAACCAGCUGGGCUUUGAUAGGAAUGAUCUGAAUGGAGACAGAAAACAGUGGAAACUAACACUCCUCACCCAGCCCUGUUUCUAUGAAGUGUUUGGUUCCUUCCUUGACUCUUGAGUGAUGAUGAUAUUCAGGCGAGGCCUUGACAUUAUGGGGCCAAGUCCUUGAGACUUUGCAUCUCUCUUGUGCGCAGUGCAGAGCCUGUGUGUAAUGGUCACUGGAAAUGUGUUUUAAGCCUGGAAGUGAGAGGAUUCA